AUGCCUUCCACGCGUGUUCCUGGUGCCACGCCUGCGGGCAAUCUUCUUCUUUUUAGGAGCACGAGGCUCCUCUUCGUGCACUUCCUCCUCCGCCUGCGGCUCCGCCUCCGCCUCCUCCUCCGCCUCCUCCUCCGCCUCAUCAUCCAAUCUAGCCAUCCGCGAGGUCCCUACGACCACCUUUGGGUUGCCUCUGUUGUCAUAGUCGUUGGGCGUGUACCGGUGUCUGGGCUGCCUAGGCUUGAACACAUAUGCGGACCGAGCUUGAGCGUCCGCCAAAGUCAUGUCAUCAUCAAGCUCAUCGCCCUAUCACACAACGAAACAAUAUGGUGA
rnacentral:rRNA from 1 species